rnacentral:tRNA from 1 species
CCGGGAUAGCUCAGCUGGUAAAGCAAAGGACUGAAA